UGCAGUCGAGCGGUAGAGAGGACUUGCUUCUCUUGAGAGCGGCGGACGGGUGAGUAAUGCCUAGGAAUCUGCCUAGUGGUGGGGGAUAACGUUCGGAAACGGACGCUAAUACCGCAUACGUCCUACUGGAGAAAGCGGGGGACCUUCGGGCCUCGCGCCAUUACAUGAGCCUAGGUCGGAUUACCUAGUUGGUGAGGUAAUGGCUCACCAAGGCGACCAUCCGUAACUGGUCUGAUAGGAUGAUCAAUCACACUGGAACUGACACACGGUCCAAACUCCUACCGGAGGCCCCACUGGGGAAUAUUGGACAAUGGGCUAAAGCCUGAUCCAACCAUGCCGCGAGUGUGAAGAAGGGCUUCAGAUUGGAAAGCACUUUAAGUUGGGAGGAAGGGUAGUAACUUAAUACGUUGCUACUUUGACUUGA
rnacentral:rRNA from 1 species